AUUGAACGCUGGCGGCAGGCCUAACACAUGCAAGUCGAGCGAGCGGCGGACGGGUGAGUAAUGUCUGGGAAACUGCCUGAUGGAGGGGGAUAACUACUGGAAACGGGAGCUAAUACCGCAUAACAUCAGAUGUGCCCAGAUUGGAUUAGCUAGUAGGUGGGGGAACGGCUCACCUAGGCGACGAUCCCUAGCGGGUCUGAGAGGAUGACCAGCCACACUGGCACUGAGACACGGCCCAGACUCCUACGGGAGGCAGCAGUGGCGACUAUUGCACAAUGGGCGCAAGUCUGAUGCAGCCAUGCCGCGCGUGGGAAGAAGGCCUUCGGGUUGUAAAGCACUUUCAGCGGAGAGGCGUUACCCACAGAAGAAGCAACGGCUAACUCCGUGCCAGCCGCCGCGGUAAUUC
rnacentral:rRNA from 1 species